rnacentral:rRNA from 1 species
UACGAGGGGUGCAAGCGUUGUUCGGAAUUAUUGGGCGUAAAGGGCAGGUAGGUGGUCUUAUAAGUCUACUGUGAAAUCCCCGAGCUCAACUCGGGACGUGCGGUGGAUACUGUAAGACUAGAGUGCUGGAGGGGUUCGUGGAAUUCCCGGUGUAGAGGUGAAAUUCGUAGAUAUCGGGAGGAACACCGGUGGCGAAGGCGGCGACCUGGGUGGAUACUGACGCUGAGGCGCGAAAGCUAGGGGAGCGAACGGG